GAUGAACGCUGGCGGCGUGCCUAAUACAUGCAAGUCGAGCGAAGCGGGGACGGGGGAGUAACACGUGGAGAACCUCAUAUAAGACUGGGAUAACUUCGGGAACCCGGAGCUACACCGGAUAAUUAUAGAUGGAUCCGCGCUGCAUUAGCUAGUUGGUAAGGUAACGGCUUACCAAGGCAACGAUGCAUAGCCGACCUGAGAGGGUGUUCGGCCAAACUGGAACUUAGACACGGGCCAGACUCCUACGGGAGGCAGCAGUAGGGAAUCGUCCGCAAUGGGCGAAAGCCUGACGGAGCAACGCCGCGUGAGGGAUGAAGGUCUUCGGAUCGUAAAACUCUGUUAUUAGGGAAGCGGUACCUAAUCAGAACGCCACGGCUAACUACGUGGCAGCAGCCGCGAUAAUUC
rnacentral:rRNA from 1 species